GUCUAUGGUCAUGCCACCCUGAACAUGCCCGAUCUCUUCUGAUCUUGGAAGCUAAGCAGGGUCGGGCCCUGGUUAGUACUUGGAUGGAAGACCACCUAGGAAUACCAGGUGCUGUAGGCA
rnacentral:rRNA from 1 species